rnacentral:rRNA from 1 species
AUGUGCCUUCAUCAACAUAAGGGUCAUUAUAUACUGAAAUUUUGGCUUAAGUCUGAACCGACCAAGCUAGUGGUAUAUUUUCCACUUACAAUGCUUACUAGCAUUCCAUGGAGACACAACGCACCUCCUAUUGCACUGAAGGAAGAAGCAUUGAUACUUGUUACAUGGUCAGAGGCACGAGAUUGUUUGGGGGAUCAAGCUUCUCAGUUAAAGUACCAUUUUAGUAUGAAGUCCAACAAAUAUAUGAGCAGUGCCUGCAAAUAUCAAACAAAAAAGCAUUUAUACCUGAAUGUCGCUAAACCGGCUUGCAGUGCCUAUACCUCCAGCAGGAACAUCAUAGGGCUGCAUGAUGAUCCCUCCAAAAUGAUCUUCAACCUUAGCAAUGUUGUUGGACGAACCUCCCAUUGA